UUGGCUGACCGCAUGACUCCGUAUUUCGCUUCGACGCUCAUCUCGUUGUAACCUGUGUACGUGCAACACGCGCUUCACCAUCUCCCCACGACGCUAGCUUCCGCCAGUUUCGCUUCAAAUAACGCCACGACCAAGUUUGUGAACUUUGAAACUUGUUGAGAAACUUUGUGGGGAAGCAGUGGAGAGUGGCCGCCGAAGACACCGCAAGGUAACUGGAUAACCUGUCUUAGCUGUACGUCUGCCACUACAUCAGCUAUCAGAGGUCCCUGGCUGUAGCGGAGAGAUAAUUUGCGAAACG